UACGUAGGGGGCAAGCGUUGUCCGGAAUUAUUGGGCGUAAAGCGCGCGCAGGCGGUUCUUUAAGUCUGGUGUUUAAGUGCGGGGCUCAACCCCGUGACGCACUGGAAACUGGGGAACUUGAGUGCAGAAGAGGAGAGCGGAAUUCCACGUGUAGCGGUGAAAUGCGUAGAGAUGUGGAGGAACACCAGUGGCGAAGGCGGCUCUCUGGACUGUAACUGACGCUGAGGCGCGAAAAGCGUGGGGAGCAAACAGG
rnacentral:rRNA from 1 species